rnacentral:rRNA from 1 species
GGAGGGCGCAAGCGUUGUUCGGAAUUACUGGGCGUAAAGCGCGUGUAGGCGGUUUGGCAAGUCGGAUGUGAAAGCCCCGGGCUCAACCCGGGAAAUGCAUCCGAAACUUUCAAGCUAGAGUCCCGGAGAGGAAGGCAGAAUUCCCAGUGUAGGGGUGAAAUCCGUAGAUAUUGGGAGGAAUACCAGUGGCGAAGGCGGCCUUCUGGACGGUGACUGACGCUGAGACGCGAAAGCGUGGGGAGCAAACAGGAUUAGAUACCCUGGGUAGUCCACGCUGUAAACGGUGCGUACUAGGUGUCGGGGGUAUUCACCCCCUCCGGUGCCCGUAGGUAACCUAUUAAGUACGCCGCCUGGGGAGUACGGUCGCAAGGCUA